rnacentral:rRNA from 1 species
AUACGUAGGGUGCAAGCGUUAAUCGGAAUUACUGGGCGUAAAGCGUGCGCAGGCGGUUUUUUAAGACAGAGGUGAAAUCCCCGGGCUCAACCUGGGAACUGCCUUUGUGACUGCAAGGCUAGAGUACGGCAGAGGGGGAUGGAAUUCCGCGUGUAGCAGUGAAAUGCGUAGAUAUGCGGAGGAACACCGAUGGCGAAGGCAUUCCACUGGGCCUAUACUGACGCUCAUGCACGAAAGCGUGGUGAACAAACAGGAUUAGAUACCCGGAUAGUCCACGCCCUAAACGAAGUCAACUGGUUGUUGGGUCUUCAUCGACUCAGUAACGAAGCUAACGCAUGAAGUAGUCCGCCUGGGGAGUACGGCCGCAAGGUUGAAACUCAAAGGAAUUGACGGGG